AUUCUAGAAAAUGUGGGCUUGAGAGCUCCCUGUCAAACUUCAGUGCAUUUCUGUGACUAAAAGUAUUGUAUUUUAUAGGAAAGGCACAUCCUUCAGAAAUGGACAAGAUUUAUUUGGACCCUAACAUGGAAAAUGAUAAUACAGAGAGCAUCAGAGGGAAAA